UUUAUGAAAAUAAUUUAAAGUCUAAUYUGCUCCAUGAUUUAUAAUAUUAAAUAGCUGCAGAAUUUUUACUGUACAAAGGUAGCAUAAUCAAUAGUUUUUUAAUUAAAAGCUGGAAUGAAUGAUUUAAUAAGGUAAUUGUUGUCUCAAAUUUAAUAAUAUUAUAAUUUUUUUUUUAGUAAAAAUACUAAAAAAAAUUUAAAAGACGAGAAGACCCUAUAGAUUUUUAUAUUUUAAGUUAAAUUAAUUUAAAUAAAAAAUAAAUUUUAAUAAAAAAAUAUUUGGUUGGGGUAACUAUUAAAUUAAAUAAAUUUUAAAUUAAAAUGAAACAUUAAUUUAUGAUUAUUUGAUCUUAAAUUUUAAAUUAAAAGAAUAAAUUACCUUAGGGAUAACAGCGUAAUUUUUUUAGAGAGAUCUUAUUGAAAAAAAAGUUUGCGACCUCGAUGUUGAAUUAAGAAAAAAUUUUAAUGUAGAAGUUAAAAAUUUUUGGUCUGUUCRACCAUUAAAAUCUUACGUGAUC
rnacentral:rRNA from 1 species